UACGUAGGGUGCGAGCGUUGUCCGGAAUUAUUGGGCGUAAAGAGCUUGUAGGCGGUCUGUCGCGUCUGCUGUGAAAAUCCGGGGCUCAACCCCGGACUUGCAGUGGGUACGGGCAGACUAGAGUGCGGUAGGGGAGAUUGGAAUUCCUGGUGUAGCGGUGGAAUGCGCAGAUAUCAGGAGGAACACCGAUGGCGAAGGCAGAUCUCUGGGCCGUAACUGACGCUGAGGAGCGAAAAGCAUGGGAGCGAACAGG
rnacentral:rRNA from 1 species